CGAUUUAUCCUGGCUGAAGGAUAGUGGUGCUUCUCAUCACAUUACCAAUGAUCUUAGUGCACUCUCUAUGCAUAGCCCAUACGAUGGUACCGAGGAACUUAUCAUCGGUGAUGGACUUUCCCACUCGCCGAACCAUUCUUCGGGGAAUCACUAGUCAUGGUCUCUACGAGCUCUCCUCAACCAAGUCUCCUCAAGCUUUUCAUUUGCAAACCACCAAGAAGUCUUCAUGGCAUCACCGCCUAGGACAUCCACAUUCACGUGUUUUACAACAUUUAGCGUCCUUUGUCCCUUUUAUUUCUAGCAAGCAUGAAUCAUGUAAUUCUUGUUGCAUUAAUAAAAGUAACAAACUCCCCUUUCAUUCA